AUUGCGUCGUCCCCCCCUCCCUGGCCCAUGUCCUGAAAGGGCCGCGGGCCUUAUAGCGUGGGGGCGGAAGUUGGCUUCCCGUGCAUUGUCUGCUGCGGCUAGCCUGAAAAGCACGGUUCCCUCGGCGCGGACGUCGCGACAAGUGGUGGUCGUCGAGAUUGUACGCGAGUCGCCGGCAAGCUGCGUCGAGGUGAGCAUUUUGGACCCUGUUGCGUGCGAGAUGAGCCCUUCCCGGAGGUGCAAAUCCAACGAUUGCGACCCCAGGUCAGGC
rnacentral:rRNA from 1 species